rnacentral:rRNA from 1 species
UGUGGCUGGGGGUGAAAGGCCAAUCAAACCGGGAGAUAGCUGGUUCUCCCCGAAAUCUAUUUAGGUAGAGCCUUGAGCGGACACCUUCGGGGGUAGAGCACUGUUUCGGCUAGGGGUCCAUCCCGGAUUACCAACCCGAUGCAAACUACGAAUACCGAAGAGUGAUACUCAGGAGACACACGGCGGGUGCUAACGUCCGUCGUGGAGAGGGAAACAACCCAGACCGCCAGCUAAGGUCCCAAAGUCUAUAUUAAGUGGGAAACGAAGUGGGAAGGCUUAGACAGCUAGGAUGUUGGCUUAGAAGCAGCCAUCAUUUAAAGAAAGCGUAAUAGCUCACUAGUCGAGUCGGCCUGCGCGGAAGAUGUAACGGGGCUCAAAUAUAGCACCGAAGCUGCGGCAUCAGACGAAAGUCUGUUGGGUAGGGGAGCGUUCUGUAAGCGGAUGAAGGUGGUUCGAGAGGGCUGCUGGACGUAUCAGAAGUGCGAAUGCUGACAUAAGUAACGAUAAAACGGGUGAAAAACCCGUUCGCCGGAAGACCAAGGGUUCCUGUCCAACGUUAAUCGGGGCAGGGUGAGUCGGCCCCUAAGGCGAGGCUGAAAAGCGUAGUCGAUGGGAAACGGGUUAAUAUUCCCGUACUUGGAUAAACUGCGAUGUGGGGACGGAGCAGGUUAGGUUAUCGCACUGUUGGAUAUGUGCGUUUAAGUUUGUAGGUGGGAAGUUUAGGCAAAUCCGGACUUCUAUUAAACACUGAGAGAUGAUGACGAGGCUCUACGGAGCUGAAGUAACCGAUACCACACUUCCAGGAAAAGCCACUAAGCUUCAGGUUUAUCUAAACCGUACUGAAAACCGACACAGGUGGUCAGGUAGAGAAUACUCAGGCGCUUGAGAGAACUCGGGUGAAGGAACUAGGCAAAAUAGCACCGUAACUUCGGGAGAAGGUGCGCCGGCGUAGAUUGUAGUCCCUUGCGGGCGAAGGUUGAACCGGUCGAAGAUACCAGCUGGCUGCAACUGUUUAUUAAAAACACAGCACUCUGCAAACACGAAAGUGGACGUAUAGGGUGUGAUGCCUGCCCGGUGCUGGAAGGUUAAUUGAUGGUGUAAUCGAAAGAGAAGCUCCUGAUCGAAGCCCCAGUAAACGGCGGCCGUAACUAUAACGGUCCUAAGGUAGCGAAAUUCCUUGUCGGGUAAGUUCCGACCUGCACGAAUGGCAUAAUGAUGGCCAGGCUGUCUCCACCCGAGACUCAGUGAAAUUGAACUCGCUGUGAAGAUGCAGUGUACCCGCGGCAAGACGGAAAGACCCCGUGAACCUUUACUAUAGCUUGACACUGAACAUUGAGCCUUGAUGUGUAGGAUAGGUGGGAGGCUUUGAAGUGUGGACGCCAGUCUGCAUGGAGCCGACCUUGAAAUACCACCCUUUAAUGUUUGAUGUUCUAACGUUGGCCCGUAAUCCGGGUUGCGGACAGUGUCUGGUGGGUAGUUUGACUGGGGCGGUCUCCUCCUAAAGAGUAACGGAGGAGCACGAAGGUUGGCUAAUCCUGGUCGGACAUCAGGAGGUUAGUGCAAUGGCAUAAGCCAGCUUGACUGCGAGCGUGACGGCGCGAGCAGGUGCGAAAGCAGGUCAUAGUGAUCCGGUGGUUCUGAAUGGAAGGGCCAUCGCUCAACGGAUAAAAGGUACUCCGGGGAUAACAGGCUGAUACCGCCCAAGAGUUCAUAUCGACGGCGGUGUUUGGCACCUCGAUGUCGGCUCAUCACAUCCUGGGGCUGAAGUAGGUCCCAAGGGUAUGGCUGUUCGCCAUUUAAAGUGGUACGCGAGCUGGGUUUAGAACGUCGUGAGACAGUUCGGUCCCUAUCUGCCGUGGGCGCUGGAGAACUGAGGGGGGCUGCUCCUAGUACGAGAGGACCGGAGUGGACGCAUCACUGGUGUUCGGGUUGUCAUGCCAAUGGCACUGCCCGGUAGCUAAAUGCGGAAGAGAUAAGUGCUGAAAGCAUCUAAGCACGAAACUUGCCCCGAGAUGAGUUCUCCCUGACUCCUUGAGAGUCCUGAAGGAACGUUGAAGACGACGACGUUGAUAGGCCGGGUGUGUAAGCGCAGCGAUGCGUUGAGCUAACCGGUACUAAUGAACCGUGAGGCUUAACCUU